CAUUACUACCAUAUUUCCAAGUUUCUCCCACAAAAAUACCACAUUUUAAAAAACUUUUCCUUUAUACCACAAUACAAAACAAGAAAUGACUAAAAUGUCCUCCAAAUUAACUAAACGAAAAAGACAAAAACAAACAAAUUAUCUCCUUCCUUUUAUUUUCUAUUUUCUCUCUCCUAUGUUCUCUCCUUUUUUCUUCUUCCUCUCUCUUUUCUCUAUCUCUUUCACCACUUCUGUGGUUAAUAAUCAAGAUGAGAUCCAAGAACUACCCAUCGUCGGAGAUCAUCAUCACUGCCGUCACCGCCUUUGUACUUGGAGAUCUUGCCGUCUUCUUCCGUCUCCUUUCAUUCUAAGAUUUAAGGCACCGCCAUCGUUUCACAAUGUCGUCCAAACUAUUGUUAUCACCGGAGCUCGUCGAUGUUGCCGCUGUCAUUUCUAAGCCACAAUCGUGAUUGUAAUCUUUGGUGUUGCGUCGUUACAUUAAAUAUUAGAAAGUAUUGUCUACAUGAGAUAUUUUAUCUUUCGUAUUGUCCAUUAAAAAUUGAUGGACAAAUUUAUGUUGUACCUUAUAUAAAGUUUUUUGGGGUUUUUUGAAAUCUACCCUAUUUAUGACUUAUAGUUUGAAAAAUACACCUUUUUAGUUUUUUUCUUGAAAAAUAUAUUUUUUAUAUGUAAUAGGACAUUUUAGUCCAGAUUUAUAUAUAAAAUAUAUUUCUAGUAAAUUAAAAUUAUAUAUUCGAAAUGAUAAGGAUGCUUUGUUGAUUUCAUAUGUUAAAAUUAAAAAGAUUAAUAUAUGAAAGUAUUCUAAAGUUUAUCAUUGAAUAUUUGUCAAGUUAUAUAGAGCCAGAGAGUCUUCAAUGUUCUAACGUCAUCACCAAAGUUUGCAUCUUCUUCAACAUCAACGUUUAAAAAAAAAAAUGGCAAAGUAAACUACUCAUACUAUUUUCUUCUGUUUUGUAUUUAUGUAUUUUCAAAAAAUAAAGAUCUUAAUAAUGUUUGAAAAUUUCCCACGUAGUUUUUGUCAUAUAGAAAAUUCAUUAUUGUUUUAGAAAAAUAUUUAAGAAAAUAAAUAUUUUUGGAAACGUUAGUUAGAUAACAGUUUUGUAAAAAUUGAAUAUUUAUUUAUCAUCAAUAGUUGAUUUUAUAUUAAAAUAUAGAUUUUUGUUAAUUACUAUCAAGUUUUAAAUUGGCUAUUUUAGUAAUUUUUACAUAUUAGAAAAUUAGUUUUUAAGACAAAAAUAAAAAGUAGGUAUUUUUCAAAAAUGUAAACAUAAACAGGGCAUUUCCCCAAAUUUACUCAAGUUUUUUUUAGUCCAUAUCAUAUAUGUUCACGAUAAUUAUUGUCCACAAUAUUUAUACAUGGUUUCUUUCAUGUUAUAUUUUAUUAUUUAUUUUAAAGGACAAACUUAACCAAACUUAAACAUCUUAUCUUAAUUCUAUAUCAUUUAAUCUUGGUGGACAAACUUAAGUUUAUUCUAUUAGUGUUUACAGAAUAAAUAUUGUCUAAAUAAAAUGUUUUAUCUUUCGUAUUGUCCAUGGACAAAUUUAUGUUGUACCUUAUAUAAAUAUAUAAAGUUAUUUAGUCCAUAUCAUAUAUAUUCACGAUAAUUAUUGUCCAUGAUAUUUAGACAUGGUUUCUUUCAGGUUAUAUUUUAUUAUUUUAUUUUAAAGGGCAAAUUUAACCAAACUUAAAUAUCUUCUCUUAACUCUAUACCAUUUAAUUUUGGUAGACAAACUUAAGUUUAUUCUAUUAAUAUUUAUAAAAUAAAUAUUGUCCAUAAUAUAUAUAUUCCACAAAAAUUAAUUACAUUAACAACAUAUUCUCAUAAGCUCACCACAACUACUUAUGUUGUGUACUUGUGAUCCCAUAAUGAACUACUUCUGUUGUGUAGUUGUGAAGCUUGUCAUCCAACAGGCGCUGACGUGUAAUUGUCCACAUACACAGUACUUUGGGCUCUGAACGCACAACACAAGUAUACAACAGAAGGUCCUACAAAAAAAAAAGUACACAACAGAAGGAGUCAAUUAUGGCACCACUAACUAUACUCCCUCUGUUUCUAAGUUAUCCUUCAAUUAAUGUACUAUAAAAGAUUUUUAUUGGUUAUUGGUUAAUUCAUAAAAGUCAUAGAGAUAAAAGUGAAAAAUUUGACAAAUAUCUACAUUGAAAAACAAAAACGACAACUAAACUGAAACAAAAAAUUAAAUCUAGAAUGACAAUUAUUUUGAAAGAGAGAGAGAGAGUAUUAGAUUAGACUUUAACAACAAAAUACACUAUAUUAAAUUAGAUAUUUGGAGUUAGUAAAAAAAACAGUAUAUUCGUAAUGAGUCUCAAAGCACUCAAACAUUGGACGUCAUAGCUAUGAAUUUGAUUUAAAUCAGUGUUUAUAUAAUUAAAAAGUCUAUACGGCCAUUUCAAUGGCAUUUAGACGUCAACUCGACAAUUUAUUUUUUCUAUUAAUCACAUACUCCCUCUAUUUCAAAUUAGUUGUCGUUUUAUAUGUUAAAUUUUGUUUCAAAUUAGUUGUCGUUUUCUAUUUUCAAUACAGAUUUUUGAUAGUUUUUCUAAUUUUACCCUUAUUAUUUUAGUUUUUCAAUUGAUGAAAUAAAAUAAAAUAAUAUAUUAAUUAGGGAUAAAACAAAAGAAUUAAAGGUUUUCUUAAUAUGCGUGAAAAAACUUUAAACGACAAGUAAAAAAACGGAGAGAGUAUUAAUUAGAAAUAAUGAUUGGUUAGAAAGACAAAUUGUUAUAGACGGUCAUCACCAAAACAAUCGGCAAUUAUUUUCUCACGCUAUAAUACGAAAACACAUGUUUCCAAAAUUAUAAGAUAAGUUUAUUGCGCAUUUAAAAAAAUAGAAAAUAAAUUUGAUGUUACAUUUUUUGUAGUACAUAAAAAAAGAUAAGAUAGUCUUUUCUAAUUGAUAUUCGGAAUCAAAAUAUAAAACUUAAAUAAUUUGUAUUUUAUAGUACCUUUAUCCAAAUAUAAAUUACAAAAUACUGUCUUAUCUUCUUUUCGCUUCAAUGAUGAAUAAGUUAUUUAAUUAUUUUCUAAAGUAAUCUUAAAGAGUCUACUGCUUUAAUUUUGGUGAUCGUCUACAAAGUUAAAAUUAAUGAAAUAACAUUAUAGUAUACAUCUUUAUCAAAAAACAUUAUAGUAUACACACGUGAUGGAACUGGAUUUGCAGAAUGAGAUAACCAUUCCAAGUCUUAAAGAUAGAUCAGUCGACAACAUUCUUUAGUCCUAUUUUAUUUGUGUCUCUCCACUUACAAUUGUCUCUUUCUUGCUGUCUGCAUUAUCCCAUGUGACCUCAAAAACAACAUUGCUCCUACGAUUAGUCUCUCGGACGAUAUAAUAUCUAAAAUUUCACAGAUUACCUACUUUUAAAUAACCAUCCAGAAACUANNNNNNNNNNNNNNNNNNNNNNNNNNNNNNNNNNNNNNNNNNNNNNNNNNNNNNNNNNNNNNNNNNNNNNNNNNNNNNNNNNNNNNNNNNNNNNNNNNNNGAAAUUGUUAUAGACGGUCAUCACCAAAACAAUCGGCAAUUAUUUUCUCACGCUAUAAUACGAAAACACAUGUUUCCAAAAUUAUAAGAUAAGUUUAUUGCGCAUUUAAAAAAAUAGAAAAUAAAUUUGAUGUUACAUUUUUUGUAGUACAUAAAAAAAGAUAAGAUAGUCUUUUCUAAUUGAUAUUCGGAAUCAAAAUAUAAAACUUAAAUAAUUUGUAUUUUAUAGUACCUUUAUCCAAAUAUAAAUUACAAAAUACUGUCUUAUCUUCUUUUCGCUUCAAUGAUGAAUAAGUUAUUUAAUUAUUUUCUAAAGUAAUCUUAAAGAGUCUACUGCUUUAAUUUUGGUGAUCGUCUACAAAGUUAAAAUUAAUGAAAUAACAUUAUAGUAUACAUCUUUAUCAAAAAACAUUAUAGUAUACACACGUGAUGGAACUGGAUUUGCAGAAUGAGAUAACCAUUCCAAGUCUUAAAGAUAGAUCAGUCGACAACAUUCUUUAGUCCUAUUUUAUUUGUGUCUCUCCACUUACAAUUGUCUCUUUCUUGCUGUCUGCAUUAUCCCAUGUGACCUCAAAAACAACAUUGCUCCUACGAUUAGUCUCUCGGACGAUAUAAUAUCUAAAAUUUCACAGAUUACCUACUUUUAAAUAACCAUUUUUUUUUUCAAAAUUCGAAAGUUACUUUGUAUUUUUCUUCAAAAGAUUUGAUGGGUUAAAAAAUAAUAAUAAUAGCGAGUGGAGGAGAGCUAGCUAGCUUUAGGUCCGUGAACAUGUGAAGAGAGAUUAUAAUGACACAUUUGCGUGACCACCUUUUUGCCGGAAAACGGGUUUUUUCAUACUCUCACUAGGAAUUAACGGGAAAUUUGUCAUUACUACCACAUUUCCAAGUUUCUCCCACAAAAAUACCACAUUUUAAAAAACUUUUCCUCUAUACCACAAUACAAAACAAGAAAUGACUAAAAUGUCCUCCAAAUUAACUAAACGAAAAAGACAAAAACAAACAAAUGAUCUCAUUCCUUUUAUUUUCUAUUUUCUCUCUCCUAUGUUCUCUCCUUUUUUCUUCUUCCUCUCUCUUUUCUCUAUCUCUUUCACCACUUCUGUGGUUAAUAAUCAAGAUGAGAUCCAAGAACUACCCAUCAUCGGAGAUCAUCAUCACUGCCGUCACCGCCUUUAUACUUGGAGAUCUUGCUGUCUUCUUCCGUCUCCUUUCAUUCUAAGAUUUGAGGCACCGCCAUCGUUUCACAAUGUCGUCCAAACUAUUGUUAUCACCGGAGCUCGUUGAUGUUGCCGCUGUCAUUUCUAAGCCACAAUCGUGUCUAAUUAUAAUUUUUGGUGUCGCGUCGUUACAUUAAAUAUUAGAAAGUAUUGUCUACAUGAGAUAUUUUAUCUUUCGUAUUGUCCAUUAAAAAUUGAUGGACAAAUUUAUGUUGUACCUUAUAUAAAGUUUUUUUUGGUCCAUAUCAUAUAUGUUCACGAUAAUUAUUGUCCACAAUAUUUAUAUAUGGUUUCUUUCAUGUUAUAUUUUAUUAUUUAUUUUAAAG
rnacentral:lncRNA from 1 species